rnacentral:rRNA from 1 species
GACGAACGCUGGCGGCGUGCUUAACACAUGCAAGUCGAACGGAAAGGCCCUGCUUUUGUGGGGUGCUCGAGUGGCGAACGGGUGAGUAACACGUGAGUAACCUGCCCUUGACUUUGGGAUAACUUCAGGAAACUGGGGCUAAUACCGGAUAGGAGCUCCUGCUGCAUGGUGGGGGUUGGAAAGUUUCGGCGGUUGGGGAUGGACUCGCGGCUUAUCAGCUUGUUGGUGGGGUAGUGGCUUACCAAGGCUUUGACGGGUAGCCGGCCUGAGAGGGUGACCGGCGACAAUGGGACUGAGAGACGGCGCAGACUCCUACGGGAGGCAGCAGUGGGGAAUAUUGCACAAUGGGCGGAAGCCUGAUGCAGCAACGCCGCGUGCGGGAUGACGGCCUUCGGGUUGUAAACCGCUUUCGCCUGUGACGAAGCGUGAGUGACGGUAAUGGGUAAAGAAGCACCGGCUAACUACGUG